rnacentral:tRNA from 4 species
GCAGAUAUAGUUUCAACCCAAACAUUAGGCUGUGAUCCUAAAAAUAGAAGUUAGACCCUUCUUACCUGCC